rnacentral:rRNA from 1 species
UACGUAGGGGGCAAGCGUUGUCCGGAUUUAUUGGGCGUAAAGAGCGUGUAGGCGGCUUUGCAAGUCCGUUGUGAAAACUCGAGGCUCAACCUCGAGACGCCGGUGGAAACUGCAAAGCUAGAGUCCGGAAGAGGAGAGUGGAAUUCCGUGGUGUAGUGGUGAAAUGCGUAGAUAAUCGGGAGGAACACCAGUGGCGAAGGCGGGUCUCUGGGC